GCUUGCGUGGUCUAGUUGGUUAAGAUGCCGGUCCCCCAUAAAGAGAGGUUAACCGGAGGCCCGGGGUUCGACUCCCCGCGUAAGCA